GGGAAUGUGGCUUAGUGGUAGAGUGCUUGCCUGGCAUUCAAGAAGCCCUGGGUUUGAUUCCUCAGUACCA
rnacentral:tRNA from 1 species